AACGCAAAUUGCACUCUCUGGUAUUCCGGAGAGUAUGCCUGUUUGAGGGUUGGUUUAAAUAACAAUCGAUAUGUUGCUUUGUGACAUUUCGGAGUUGGGUCAUCUUAAUCUUAAACUUUAAGGGACCUAAAAUUGAUGUUCUUGCGCAUCUUGACGUGUAUAAUUUUUUUUAUCUCGUCACCGGAUGCCAGGUAUUAUUAGGUGUGACUAUGCUAAGUGGUUUCAUGCCUAUAGGAUUCUUGAUUUCAACCUCAAAUCAGGUAAGGAUACCCGCUGAACUUAA
rnacentral:misc_RNA from 1 species